rnacentral:tRNA from 1 species
GCGUCCUUCAUCUAAAGGGAAAGAGCCCUGUUUGCCAUACAGGGGAUGCGAGCCCGAACCUCGCAGGACGCUCCA